rnacentral:SRP_RNA from 2 species
UCUGGGCACGGUGGUGCAUACCUGUAGUCCUAGCUACUCGGGAGGCUGAGACAGGAGUAUCACUUGAGCCUAGGAGUUCAGGAGUUCAGGAGUUCAAGGCUGUGGUGAGCUGUGAUCAUGCCACUGCACUCCAGCCUGGGCAACAGAGUGAGAGCCUGUCUCUU